AAGGCCACAUAGGUUGUCUGUCAUAGCUGCGAGUUUUUCCUCAGAAUUUACGAUUGCGUCUCAAGUGCUUAGGUGUGAAGCGACGCAUCGCCCCUCGGGGAAUCCAUAUCGUGAUCUUUCCCUUCUCUGCUGUGACGAGGCCACGGAGGCGCGGAUGAGAAGAACUCAUAAAUCGAGAGCCGCUCAUGCCCUUAAUUGGGCGAGGCGCUUAUUAUGCAGCGCUCGUGCCGCUGCUUGCACGGAGAUGCACGUCUGCUUUAAUGAGCUACUGGCCAAUUAGGCCGGAAUCCAAACUGAC